AGGUAGUCAGUUAUUGUACAUGAAGGUCAAGGUAGUCAGUUAUUGUACAUGAAGGUCAAGGUUUCUAUUAUUAUACAUGAAGGUCAAGGUAGUCAGUUUU
rnacentral:lncRNA from 1 species